GUUUAUCAGCCAUGAGACCUUUGCAAUUGAUCUAUUAUGAUGUAACACAUUUUGGAAAGAUGAUUUUUAAAAACAUGUGUCCCUGGACUCAUGGUAAUAUGGUUCCAGGCCUAUUAUCACAAAUUUGCUCCUUUCUGGUGUCAUGCAUGAUCAAUUGAAAGCUACAUAAUCCUCAGGUGUGAGGUAGUUUUAUUCUGGAAAAGCUCUCUUAGAUUGUAUUAUGUACCAGCUUAUUUAUCCUCUAAGUAAAAAUGAGCCAAGCAUCCAAGGAUCUAUUAAGCACCUUCACAUUGGUCCAUUCAAAUCCACAGGCUUUCAGGCAUUAACCCAUCCCCAUAAGAGGCUUCAUGAAAUGGCUCAUCAAAUGCCUGGCAACAGAGGAAGCCAUCUGGUGAAGGGUGGAUUGUGAUUAUAACCCAUCCAGAUUUGCCUUCUCAUCAGCAACAACACUGUUGUCUCAUUCGCCCCUGUAAUUGGUCGUGAAAGCCUAGGGACAAAAGAUUGAACAUAAACCAAUCUGACCACCAGGUUUUUUUUGUGUACCUUUUUUUUUUCUUUUUUAAGUUGGGAGCAUCCAAUCACACUCAUCUCUGAGGUUAGAACAAUUUACCUUGUGGAAAUCCCCUUCGUCAUUGAAGAUGAAUCUUGCUCAGCUAACUACUUCCCAGCUGCUGGGCAGCAGGAAUAUUCAGGGCCACCAUUAAGCCUACCCCUCAGCAAAAUCUCCCCAUGGCUGAAGGCCAGGCAGUUCAACAGGAAUCCUACGGAGCAACCACUGCAAAGCUCACUGAGUGGACUUCCAGGCAUUUUCACACCCACAGGAAAAAUUGCAAGAACCCAUAAAGCCAUGCUGAGGAGUAUAGGACGUCAGGCACAGGUCAGUGCUGAUUUCAUCAGAGCGCUGUUCAGAUCGCUUGUGCUGCCAUUCCUGUGAAAACACUGUUCCAGUCAUGUGGCUGAGCAGUGUGUAGACGAACUAGUCUUCCAAAUCUUGGCUGCCCACUAGGUCUCACACUUGGGGCUCUUUCCUCAUGUGGUUCCACUAUGCAGCCAAUGUUAACUACUCCAAGCCUAGUUAGCAGACCAGCAGCAGAAGUGUUAUGUGGGAGCUUGUUAGAAAUACAGAAUCUCAGCCGUACCUAGACUUUCUGAAUCAAAAUCUGCCUUCUUAAAAGAUUCCCAGGGGAUAUGUAUGAACGUUACCAUUUGCGAAUCAUAUAAGUAGAGUAUGGCCUCCCAGAACAUGUGACCUAUUGGAAUCACUAGGAGAGCCUAGACUUACAACGUUAUGGUAGAGCUUAGAAGUCUCUAUUUAAAACAAAUGUUCUAGGUGCUUUUAUUGUGACCUGGCACAAGCCUAUGGACAGCACCAUGGACCAGAGUCUCCCACAUGUCCUUGAUAAUAAGAACAACCUGGAGGAGGAGGCUUAUUUUUUAAAAAACAAAAUCCUAUGCUGGGCUUAAUAUCUAGGUGAUGGGUUGAUCUGUGCAGCAAACCACGGUGGCACACAUUUACCUAUGUAACAAACCUGCACAUCCUGCACAUGUACCCCUGAACUUAAAAAGUUGAAGAAAAAAAACCCCCAGGCCACUUCCCAGAAAUUCUAUUUCAGUUGGAUCUUGGGGCGAGAUACGAGAAUCUGUACUUACUCCCCACACACAUAUGCACACAUACAGUGAUUCUUGAAAAAUUUGGGAAACACAGGAGUGUUCUAUAGCAGUGACUCUUCAAUGUUGUUGUGCAACAGCAUUGUCUGGGGAGGCUGCUAAAUGUACUGACUCCUGGAACCUUUGAAAAUAAGGGAAGACUACCCAGAUAGGAACAAGCAAAAGCUAUUUAUUCAGAGCUCAUUACAGCAAGGAAGCCAGCCACUAUCACUUGCAUUUGGCAGAAACACAAAGGCAGGCGGGGAAGUGUAAAAGCUGUAUAGUGAGCAAAAGGGAAGGGUUCAGUUGUGUCCUGAUUGGAGGGUGUUGGCAGGGGCAUGCCGUAGAUGGUCUAACUAAAAGCAGAGCAUCCCAUGCAAUUGGUUAGGGGUACAUAUUUGGCUUUCUCCAGCUGGUCUUAAGUUGGAAGGAAGACACACAUUAGGGAAGCUAACCAAAUCCUGGCCAUUUUGGGCUGAUUGCUACAGAGGUUAUGGUUUGUUUUCCUGGAUUGGUUGCUACAGAGGUUGUGGGUCAGAAUUCUAUUUUUAUGUAGCUCUGGCCAUUGUCCAUUUGUAUAUUCAGUCUCUCAACAUCUACCCCAGAAUUAUUAAUUAAAAACAAUGUAAUGAGGCCUGGACACCAAUAUUUUAAUAAGCUCCCCAGGUUCUCAAAUUGGCUAGCCACACAUCUACAGAUAUCCUGAGUUUUUGCUAACCAUCCUACUGCAGUUUCAAAGGUGUCAGGCAGUUUUUAUUCCCACUCUGAUUACCACACACCAUUUGAAACAAGAACUUCACAAUCAGAGGGGGCUUCUUGGCAGCUUCCCACCAUUUAUACACAUACCCUAUGGGUGGUCAGUAUGAUACCUGAAUGCCAGAGUUGUCAGCGAUCUUACUUUGGGGUGAAGCAGGGCAGAAGAAUUGAAAUAAAGACAUCAAGAUGCUUUUCAAUAAAUGUCAUCUGAAGACCAGAAUAUGAACAAGGAGUUGAAUAUGAAUGAGGAAUUCUCUAUUAGAUAAUUACAUCAGAAUUUCCUAGACAACAAUUGUAAUCAGAUAGGGCUCCAGAGGGGCAGGCAUCCCAGAAUCAUCCAUGUGGAAGGACGUGUAGUUUGAAGAAGCCACCUGGUUGACUGUGAUAUUCUUCUGUACCCCUUUGUUGAGAACCACUGAUGUAGAGAAUGUAAUAAACAAUUCAGGGGUUACAAACUCCAACACCCACAUGAGCCAUGAGGGUAACAUAAAUUGGUAGCAUAGCUGGGAACCUUAAGCUGUCUUCUUUUGACACAGACCUAACUUGUUUGUUCAUUAAGCAAAUGGAUAUAUUUUUCACUUCCACAAGUAAACAUGUUCUCUCAUUUAUAUUGGGGGAGAAAGUUCUCAAUCUGCCUUUCAUUUUCUGACUUUUGAGAUAUAAUUUUUAAAUGAUUACUGAGAAAAGCAGCAGCGAAAAAACAUCAUGCUAAAUGGCAAAGGAAACUCAGUAUCAAAGGAAGAGCUGUAAAUGGUGAGACUGGGCCCAGCUGGAGGCUGGACAGCUGCUACUCAGCUCUGGGGAAUUGGAGUUUGUUGCCUUUUCUGAUUUUUUUUUUAAAGGCAGAAAUAGGAGAUUUAAUAUGUAAUUGUCUGAUCUUUAAAUGUUGGCUUAAUUUUUAUUUAAGAUUGUGAAGGUCAAACAAAUAAGUCUGAUGGGUUGGACACAGGCCUCAAGCCGCCAAGUUUGUAACCUCGGCACUGUAGCAUUGCCUGCAAAUGAGGUGUUAGCACAGGACCCCGUUCAUGCUAAGGGCACCGCAAAGUUCUCCAACCAAGCACGCACCAAGAGCGGGACCACGUUAACUCUACCCAGCCUCCAUCUCCCUCCUCAGGUCAUCAUUUCCACAGUGGAACUUAACCUUGCUAUCUUUAGAAAGUAAAGAUACCAAACAGAUCUGCCGAUAGCUUCGUUUUCAAUGAUGAGCUCAAUCUCUCUUCUUUCUUUUCCUCUUUAAUUCACAAAACCUAGUGGUUAGGCAGCCUAAGCAGGGAAAGUGUGGGAGUGGGAUGUAACUGGUCCCUUGUCAACAAUCACUGGGGUAGCUAAGUUGUUUAUUUCUUAAAUUUAGUUUAAAACGGAUGCAGUCAGCAGUUUCUAAUUCCUGUCUGGGCUAAAGAAAAAAAAUGUUUGCAUUUUUACUUUUUCAAGAGUUUUCAGCCUUAUUUGGAAUCAACUGACUCACAUUUGGGUCAGGAUCGAAGGGUUGUUGAUUCGGGAGUCAGAAAGGAAAAGUAGAUAAAUUUUAAAAUACUUUAAUAAAAUCUUUAUACAAAAGAUGUUGGAAUUACUGAAAACUUUUAGUCUCUUCAGAAUCAGAGUCAAGCAAAAGUGGGCUGGGAAAGGUAGAGGUAGGUGGCUUGAGAUUAAUGUUUUUUUGUGGGGUACUUGAUUAAAAUUUAUAUUUUAGGUGAAUGGGUUGAUUCACCUAAGCAAUACUUUGGCAGGUAAUACCUUUUUAAAAAAUACCACCGAUGCAGAUCUGAAUAAUGGUGUCGAUUAAUUCAGUUUUCUCAGUAGUGAAAUAUAAAUUGGAACCUCUCUCCACCAAACUUCAUGGAAAUUUUUGGGAGCAUGCUCCUCACCAGCACCAUCUCCCUUUGUUGGCCAUUUCUGUAAUGCAGUUGUGUAAGUUUCAUAGUGCAACCCAAGGCCAAACGCUGCCUCCAAGACCAGUGAAGCCAGAGGUCAGGCAAGCUACAAUUCUGAAACUAAGUGAUGCAUAACAAAAAGCUGAUUGCCUGAAAAAGGCAAUAAGCUGAAUUAGCCAUAAUUUUAACUGGUUUAAUAUGCUUUACCCAGGAACUGUCUGCUCUGAAAAAUCACAUGUAAUACAUUCCUUAAUUGUAAAAUAAAACAUGGAGUAUAACACUUUUAUUAGUAGUAAUUUAGGUUGUUUUCUUCUUCACUAAGAAUUGAAUAAAUAUCUAUAUGUAAAAAGCGCUUUGGUAUGUUUCCACAAAGUUUGAGUGUGGUUUCACGUGAUCACUCCAGCCAAUAAUCAUUAAAGGCCUCAGCACUCACUGGCAAACCCAUGCCUGUUCAUUAUUAAGCACUGAAAAUGAUGAGCCAAUGAAGAAUAUGAUAAUGCAAUCUUUAGAAUCAUUUAUGGUUAUGAGCAUUGAUUCACCAAAUAAAGGCUUAAAAUGUAAUGGCCCUGAAAAUGGAAAGACUAUGUGUAAGAAUUUUUAGAAACUGUAAGAGAAGAAUGGUAAUAAACUGUAAAGAGGAGACCAAAUUCAUUAGAAUAAAAAAAAUUGAGAUGGGCUGAAGACACUAAGGAACGAUUGGAAUGAGAAGAAUCGCCAAAUGUGGAGCACCUAAUCAAAAAGAGAACCAGAAAUGAAUAAUCAACAAGGAGCUGUAAUCAACAUGGGAGAGCAAAGAAGAAAAGACCGGCUGGGAGAGCAAGCCUUGAGGGAAGCUGGAGAAUAUUCUAUCUUGUGUAUUUUGCAUUUCAAAAUCUCAUACAAAUAUGCUUUUCUUAUCCAAAAGAAGAGUUUCCCAUCUGCUUCGCUUUUUCAGUGGUCAUUACGUCACAAAGACAGACUUUUGAAGAAAGGUGCUGAAACCUGUAAUUAGCUCUCCACUCUGUGAUGUUUUGACAAGCACUGUCAUCGGUUUCCUUAACAGUCGUAACUGAGAAAAAAAGGUUAUUUGACUGCACAAUGAAAUUAGACAUAUGUAUAUAUAAACUUAAAUAUAAUUUGCUAAUAUGUUAUCAAUGGCUACUAAGUUCAGUCAGAGUGGGUUACUUUACAUCAGGUAAAGCUAAUGUAAACAUAUCAGUUUGAAGGGGUGCCAAAUUAUUAGCCCUCCUUUGGCACCUUGUGAAGAGUCUCACUGUUGUCUGCGUUAACUUUUCUCACGAUUCUUCCCUCCUUUUAUUCACUGCCUUCCACCCAGAUUCUACUGGGCUUCAAAGCGUUGGACCCCAUUCUCUGUGCCUUCUUCUACUUUUGUGUCAUGAUUUUGCCUGAGUUCUCUUCUCCUCUAGCAGCCACUUAGACUCAUAACCUAAGGAGGCUUGCAACCUUGUCCAUAGACUAAUUUUUCCACCUUAACUAGAACCAUUAAUUGUAAUAAAAUUACAUAUUUAAAUAAAUUGCUUUCAGAAAUUUGACAAUAAAAUUCCAAAUUUGUGCUUUGAUUCUUUCUCUUUGUUAUACAGUUAAGACCCAUUAUUCCCUGUAGCUAUGGGGAGUUGCAAAUCAUCCUUUACUCUCCGAACACUUCUUAUUCAAAUUAGAUCAAAAAUUCCAGAUUCUGCCCUCCUCUGCUGUAACUUCCAGGUCACUUUUCCAUUGACACAGGCAAACACAGAAAGUAGGGAUAAUGCAAAAGGCAACCUACUUUCCUGUGUCUGUGUAUUCAGUAAAAAGGAUUAGCUCAAAACAAAAUGGCAAAUUAUUGAGCUUGUAUUGGGGGUUCUGCUCACUUGCUGCCUUCCACUACUUCUAGAAACCUACUUCCGGGUGAUGUUCUUAGGCCACUUCUGGUUGUGCUGAGGAUCCUUCCCAGACCUACUUCCUCACGCAGAAUACCGUGUGUCAAUCCUCAUCCUCCUUCCUCCAUUUAAGGGGAAAAAGUGUUCCGGAAACGAUAUCAUCUAAUAUAGUGAUGAUUUAUAAGAUGUUGAUGCAUUUAGUCUCUCAAAGGUGUUUCAGUUUCAACAGAAUUAUCUUACUCCAGAAGAGUUUAAGGCCAAUUAAUGAAAUACUUUUUUGGGGAAGACAAGGAGACCUUUUCUGAUACUCUCUAAUAACCCCAUGCAACUGAAAGUGUCCGGUGUUUAUACCAGUCCUUUAGUCACAGUGGUUGCAUCUAGAGUGGGUAUAAAGUCUUACUUAUGCAUCUUAGGCCACCCUUGAAGGCUUCCUUUACUGACUCUCUCUACCAACAACCAUUAGGAUCUUUCCUCCAGUAUAGAGGUGACCUUGUACCAUGUUCAUUAAUUCACAUGGUCACUCCCAUUUUCUGAGCCCCUGUCUCAUGUCAGGACCAUGUAAGGCACUAAGAAUGGAAUACUAACAAGAAUAGUUUCUGUGCCCAGAGAGCUUACCUUAUAUGUGAAUGAGGCAAGUGUGUAAAGAAGUAAUUAUUGCAAUGCACUAAGUAUAGUAAUGGGGCUUGUGUAAGGGCUUGAUUCUGCCUGGAAAGAUCAGGGAAGUCUUUCCUGAAGAGCUCUCCAUUGCCUGCUUCAUCCUUAUCUGUUUUGUUUAUGUUGUGUUGUCUUCCCAAGGAGGUUAUGAACGGUCAUUUUGUACUACUCACGUGAUAAAUGCUUAUCUACUUAUUAAAUAACCAUAACUAAACACAACUUUGCCCAACUUUUCAUUAACCACCUCUUGAGAAUCAAAAGUACAGCCAUGGAGAGCAUUACCCAAAGGUCUAUGACUUCCAAUCCAGUCUUUGCAUAUUUAGUGAUUAAUUUUGAUGACUCCCCAUGCUGCCAAUACAUACUCCACCCACACUAUCCACCACACACAUACCAUGCAUGAUGCACAUACAUUAUGCUGACAUGCUGGAAUGUUUAACAAUCUGAAAAUGGGGAAAUUGUAUCUCAAGAUUAAAUAAAUAAAGCGAGCCCUCAUCAAGUCAUCAGCAUUUGCCCCACAGGAUUCCCCCAGGGGGUGGCUCUCCAGCAUUUGUCAUAAACAGAAUGGAGGUCAUUAAAGCUUGGCAAAACCUAACAACGUAUCUAAUUAUAGGUUUGAAAUUGCAGAACCAAGCAGUAACUACAGGGCACGCUGAGUUUAGUUACUUCUGAACACAAUUUAUUGCUUUGCUUGGGUAAAUUACUCCCCAUAUUUAAAAAGAAGUGGAGAUUUUUUGCAUCAUCUCCAGAGGGGCAGUCGGUAGGACAGCAUCCUCGGGCAGAAAUAAAGAGUUUUGAAGUUUUCUAAAUGGACUCUUUAAUGCAGUUGAACAAAAGGCGCAACCCUUACCAGCAGGCAAAACUAAUCUUGAGGUCAUCUGGAAAGAGUAUCUGACAAUUUACAUUUAUCUGAUAAAUCUGUCCCCUCUUCAAGUUCUUAUCAGCCAUGAGGGAGCUGCCAAUACUUCCUUAUAUUACUGGGGCAAAUUGGGUAAUUUGGUGACUAGGAAAGAAAAUAAAAUCAUAGCUGUGGUUUCGGUUUGCACUUUGUUUCUGGGGAAAAAAAUACAUUUUUUAUAUGUGCGUGUGUGUCGUUCCAUGGUUUAAAAAAUAGAUCGGAAGAAAAAAUCUUAUAACAAUGACUGCGUAGCUGUUAUACAAUAUAAGAUGUGAAAAUUUAAACACAUUUUCAAGAUUUAUUGAUUGGCCUUGUUUUUUUUUUUCUUUUUUUAAUAAAGCAAGGAACAUAUCACUUAAAGCAAUCAUAUUGAUAUAAAUAUAAAAAUGCAUAAUUUGUUAUUCUUUUCUACCAAAAUAAGUUUGGGCGAUCUUCUCUAUAGUGAGUGCACAUAGAUUAUUGGUAAAUUAAGUGUUUCUUAAAUAUAUAAAAUAAAAAUAAUUAUUUUCAAAAUAAUUAUUAUUAUCUUGUAAGACAAAUAAUUUUAUUAGUCUUCUUUUCCAAAAUGUUAUUGGACAUUCUUGCCCUUUUAUUCAUUCAGAAAAGUCUAAAUAUAUAUGUCAAAUUCCUAAAAUCUCCCUUUAGAAUUUUGAUUAAAAAGUCUAAUAGAUAUAAUUUGGUGAACAUUGUCAAUUUUUUAAAAUGAAAUCUUUUUCAUUCAGUUAUAUGUUGGACUUUUAAUUCAAAGUCUUUUUGUUUCUUUGUUUUUGUUUUAAAUUUUACUCACAAAGGUUCUAUACAAUUCUAACUAUGCUUAUUUCUAAGUAUUAUAAUUUUUAUAUUUGAAUUGUUCUCUUAGCAAUCAGUCUACUUGCAUUGUACUGCCACAUUGCUAAGGAGAAAUGUUAACCAUGAUAAAUAAAUUAUUCUAUAUGAAAACCAUGUGAGAAGCAGUUUGAACAUAAUUAGGGUCUGCAGUUUGGAAAGAUGCCCCUGAGUUCUGACUUGGAGUAUUUUUUGACAUCACCAUUGUGUUGUUUGUUUUCCUGUGUGUGUGUGCAUCUUGCUCCUCUCUCCCUGUCAUUGUACUCUCCACAGGAUUUUUCUCCUGACAUUCACGCAUGCACCCCCACCCAUCUUGGCUUAUGUAGAAAAUUACUGCCCAUGUCUUUGAGAUGCAUUCUUGGAACACCCAGAACAAAUGCUCUUUAUACCCAAAAGUCUUAGUUUAAAAUCAGACAAUUCAAACAGAGCCUUUAGAUUUGUGGAAAUCCAAUUAUCCACUUUUAUGAGAUAUCAUCACAAACAGAUGAAAAUAUAUUCAUAUGCUUUAAUAUAUAUUCAUAGGUAAGAUUUGUUUGUAAUUUUCUUUUUUGCUAUCUAUGGUUUUGUUCUAGAUAAUGCUGGUUUCAUAAAAUAGAUUGUACACCUUAUGUCAUUUUCUGAACUCUGAAACAAUUUGAAUAGUGUGAUAGAUGUUAAGCCCUUGAAAGUGUGAAUUUACUUCUCAUGAAAAAUAAUCUACAAGUUGUACUUUGACACCUGUUCCAAUUCCUCUCUGUUCAUGCAUUCAAGUUGUUGAAUGCCUGCCCUCUGCCAGAAACCAUAUUAGAUAUGUUUCAGUUUCUACUUAUCCUUGAUUCAAUUUGAAGUAAUUAUUUUGACCCAGAGAUUCAUCAGUUUCAUUGAGAUAUUCAAAUUGAGUGAAGUUAUGCAUAAUCUUCUUUUAUAAUUUUUGAAUCUCUUCUAAUUUGGAUUUUUGUGUUUUCACUUUUUUCAUUAGACUUGUCAUAUGUGUAUAUUCUAUUGCUUAUAUGUAGAGAGUUUGUCUUGAAUAUCUCAGUUCUGCUUUUUCCCUCUAUUUUUAAGUAUAUUAGCUUCUGAUCUUAUUAUUUACAUUUUUCUAGUAUAUUUAUACUUAUUUUCUAAUUUCUUAAUGAAUCUAUAGUAAUUGUUUUCUUCAAUAAUGACCGUAUUUACAGCCAAACAUGUAUCUCUGGUAACUGCUGUGGCUGCAUUUUCAUGUGUUUUUAUAUGUAAUGUUCUACGUUUUCAUUUUAUAAAUAGUUUGUAUUUUUAUCGUAAGCUUAAAAUAUAUUCAGUCAUUUUAUGUGUCACAAAAGAAACAGACACAUUUAAGCUAGCAAAAAACUUUUCAUACAAAGCCUGUGUGUCUUCUGGCUUUGAAUAAUAACCACAGUCACUUGAAAUACUUUAAAUUUUAUGUGAUUAAAAUUAAGGCCUAGAAAUUUAUUAAUGGAAUACUUCAAACCUAAAUUUUAUUUUUAAGAGUCUUUAUCCUCCUAGACUGAUUUUUUUUUGACUAAUUGUGUUCUCUAUUAAGACAUAAGUUAAGUUUUAUUCAUCUUUUUAUUAUCUAAGACAUGUAUGCUUACAGGAACAUAAUAGGUUUGCAUAAAUUUUAUUAAACACAUAAAGGCAGUCUAUAGAAAAUAUCGUUUUCAGGACAAGAAAUAAUCAUCUACUUUAGGAAUCUGAGUAACCACUGGAAAUCUCUGUGUUCUAUUAAUCUGAACAGUUGCUAUUACAGGCAACAGAAAUGCAAAUUUGUUUGAGUAAAUAGAGGGGACUUAGGGUGGCAUAUGUGGGUUAACAGGCACCAGGCAAACACAACAGGAUCACAAGCGAUGUUGUCAGGAUCUAUUGUCCUUGCUCCAUCUUUUGAAUCUGCUUUCUUCUGUGUUGGAGUUCUUAAGGCCCUCUGCUCAUGUCAGGAAAGAUGUCAAUAGCAGCUACAAGCGUAUGGGAUUUACCAGCUAGCAAUUCCAAGAAAUAAUAUAUUUCCCAAGUAAAGCCACUAGGAAGGCUCAAUUCAGCCCAUUUCUGACUCAAUUCCUGAGGCUGGGAGGAUGAGCUCCUCUAAGAUUCCAGGCCUGGGCAUGAUCACACCUCUGUAAUGAGGGCAUGUUCACACCUCUGUAGUGAGGUGUAAUGACGGGGGCAGCUCUCCUCCACCACCUGGGCUGGUGCCCAUCAUGUAGGAAGGUUUGUUUCAGAAGACCAGAGGAUGAAUAUUGGGGCAGGCAACAGGUAAGAGAUGUUUGCAAAAUCAUUGUUUUCAUAAUUUUGAAUGUCCUAUACUUUCAAUUGUAACAUGAUUGCCUGACAUCAAUUCAAAACCCUGAGCUCCCUAGAGAGCUCAGUUGGUGUUGCUGUUCUCUUUACUCUUUCUUUAGCCAUGAGCUUCAACUAGUUCUCAGCUCAAGUCUUACAGCUCCUCUUUUGUUUCUUUAUGUUGAGGAGCGGGGGAAGAUUACAUUCAACUUCAGACAGCUUGGAAAAAGUUAGAAGCAAAAGAUGAAUCUGAAUGCUGUCUGAUAGUCCAUUUUUAAUCAGAGGAGAGCAAUUUUCCCUUCUCAAAGAAUGUCUCUUCACAUCAGGUAUUUGGCUUCUAGGUGCUUGCUGAUUAAUUACUUACAUUUACAUAACAUUAAUCUCCUUUCUAACAAUUUAGCAGGCUUCCAGCCGUUUUCCCCGCCUCAUCAGUCUGGCAGAACAUCCUCGAUCUUAAAAGAGCCACAACUACUUUUGCAAUGUGUAGAUUUUGAAAACUUACUUAAAUAAAACAGAAUAAAAAUCUUAAGCAAAGCUAUAAAUGAUUAUAUCUUCCAUGUAUAUUAGGUAGAUAUCUGAAUGAAAUGCUUGGUCUACACACUUUAUUUUGAGUUGUGUAUAUGGAAAAUAUCUUCCCUUCUGUUUUGAAAUUCCUUCCUUGAAUUCUUUCCCAGAAUCUUAUUCAUUCAUUCUAAGCUCAGCUCCAAUAACACCUCCUUUUGGAGGACCUUCCAGAGCCUCCUGGUCACUUGAUAUCUUUCAUUACAAUUCCACAUCACUAUUUGGGAUUACAUUCAUGCAUUCAUUCAACAGAAAUUUAUUGAGCUCUUCCAAUGUUAACCCCUAUGUAGGUGCUGGGGGCAAAAAUGUGAUGAAAAACAGAAAUAGUCUCUGCUUUCCAGAACCCUCAGUCAAAAGGGAUGUGUAAGGUAUAGUGACUGUGAUGUCACAAAGAUAGGAAUUUAGCCAGGAGGAAAUACUUGCAUUAGAUCUUGAGGAAUAAGCCCAAGUUCACCACACAAGUAAAGAAUGGGGUUGGCAGUACUGUCCUUACAUGGGCCAAGAAGGGUACCCCAUGCUUUCAGGAUCCUGCUGUGUCCUUUCUCUAGCUCUGCACCACCCUAUGUUUCUGCUUUCUAGAACCGGUUUCAACCACCCAGUGCCCCAGAGUUCCCUACCCAAACAUCCCCAAACUCCCUUCCAGGCCUGCACUGGACUUUUCCCCAAGUCCGUACUCUUAAAGGCCAGAAUGUGCUGAUAGUGUGUGUACCCUAGGCCCAAGCUUUGGGGUGAUGUUGGGGAGGGUGAGUGGAGCUUAGAUUAAGUGGUCCAUACAUCUAUACCCAAAAGCGUUUGUUGAAUUGGAGAAAGCCAGGGAGCAGAGAGCAGUGGAGCGGGCUGGCAUAUUCUACAGCAGUAAGUUCCAGCAUGGAAAAAUCCAAGGAGCCUGAAAAUUCUAAAUCUGAGCUUGGCCUUCAGGUCAUUAUGAAGAUAUAUUUGUCACAUAGGAAGACAGAAUGCAUUUUUACAUAACAGUUUGUUGGCUUGAUUUAUAACUUUUAAAUGUAUGCAUGUUUGAUAGGUGUGCUUCCAUUUAUGCUCUUGCCUUGGGCUGCAGAAAUGUUAGGGCAGGCCUGGAAGCAAGGCACAGAGAUGGUUCUGAGCCGACAGAAGAGAGACAGAAAGGUCCAGAGGUGUAAUUUGGGAAUCCAAUCACAAGCAGGUUGGUGUGACCACAGAAUGACUUGGAAAUUGGCUAGUUAUGCAUGUGUUCAUCUUUCCCUCCAGACGGUAUAUUCUCUGAGGUCAAAUGCCAUGGAACAUUCAUUCCUGUGUUUGGCAGAACAUUUUAUACAGAGCAUAAGGCAGCCAAGAAGGAUGAGCCGGUGAUCUCUGCAGUCUGCCCAUAACUCCACACAAAACUUUACCCAUUGUCACAGGAGAGUAUAAGCAUAGCAUAAAGAUCCUCGUAGAUGGACUUUCAGCUCCAUGCUUAAAGCAACUGACAAGAAUCCAUUUCUUUUCAGUGUACAAGUGAAGGGUAAAAGACAGAGAAGGAAGAUAGAGCAUAGGAAAAAGAGUGGGGUGAUAUUUGUCCAUUCAUUUGUUGAAGAAAUGGUUAAAUAAAGGAAUGAAUGACUAAAGACCAGGUUGGCAGGUGAAAGCCAGGGCAGGGGCCUGGGGCAGCAGGCAGAGACACAGCUCUCACAAAUGCAAGAGGAAGACGAAUCAGGCACUCGUCUGUUCUUCAAAGGAUACAGAAUGGUUUUAUUGACCACCUGUACAUGUGAUGGCUUUCAUCCUGGAGGAGAAGGGCAUAUCCACACCUACCGAAUAUCUGUUUCACAGGCAAUGUGCCAAUUAUUUAC